AAGUCGUAACAAGGUUUCCGUAGGUGAACCUGCGGAAGGAUCAUUAUCGAAUGAAACUAGAGUCGGUUGUCGCUGGCCUCUUCAUUGAGGCAUGUGCACGCCUUCUCUAUUCAUCCACACACACCUGUGCACUUGUGAGACGGACUUGUUCCUUUCGGGGGGACCUUCCGUCUAUCAUACAUAAACUCCAGUAACUAUAAAUCAGAAUGUAAUCGAUGUAACGCAUCUUUAAACUAA
rnacentral:misc_RNA from 1 species